CAGAUAGCUCAGUCGGUAGAGCAGCGGACUGAAAAUCCGCGUGUCGCUGGUUCGAUUCCGGCUCUGGG
rnacentral:tRNA from 1 species